UACAGAGGGGGCAAGCGUUAUUCGGAAUUAUUGGGCGUAAAGGGCGCGUAGGCGGUCGUGCAAGUGGAAGGUGAAAUCCCUCGGCUUAACCGGGGAACUGCAUCUGAUACUGGAUGGCUUGAGUUCGGGAGAGGGAUGCGGAAUUCCAGGUGUAGCGGUGAAAUGCGUAGAUAUCUGGAGGAACACCGGUGGCGAAGGCGGCAUCCUGGACCGACACUGACGCUGAGGAGCGAAAGCCAGGGGAGCAAACGGG
rnacentral:rRNA from 1 species